UACGUAGGGUGCGAGCGUUAAUCGGAAUUACUGGGCGUAAAGCGUGCGCAGGCGGUUUUGUAAGCCAGAUGUGAAAUCCCCGGGCUUAACCUGGGAAUGGCAUUUGGGACUGCAAGGCUCGAGUGCGGCAGAGGAGACUGGAAUUCCUGGUGUAGCAGUGAAAUGCGUAGAGAUCAGGAGGAACAUCCGUGGCGAAGGCGGCUACCUGGACCAACAUUGACACUGAGGCACGAAAGCGUGGGGAGCAAACAGG
rnacentral:rRNA from 1 species